UGUGCCCUUUAUAUAUCACCCUCUAUACUAGACCCUCAUCAACUGAUCCACUAGACCCAAAAUAACUAGUUGGUGUAUGUUUAUGAUAUAAACAAUGCCUCCCACAUCUUUUAAUUUGAUGGGCAAGAAGAUUAUAAGAUGUAUUUACGACUUUGACUUCGACACCCAUUUUCUCAUUCUCAUUUAAUUAGUAGACAAUUAUCAAGAUCCCAGCCAUAAGCAUUUAUUCAAUAUUCCUCAAAUACUGAAGGUCCUCUAUGCAUGUCAAUUUGUCCUUGGAUACUUCUAUUGAAUUGACACUUCCAAGAUAUGCCGUAUCUUAAUAAGUCUCUUCUUCUUUUAUCUUGCUUCACUUUGACUCCUAUAACCUCUGUUUCAAGCUUCCUCUAUGGUGUCUUCAUCACUUCCUUUGGCCACGUGAUAUAAAAAAAGUAAGAGAGAAUUCGAAGCUUCCAAUAUUCUCACCUUCGUUAGCCCCCAGGUACUUAUGCUCGAAUCUUCUAACUUUACUCUCUUGAGUCUUAUCUUUGAUUCUGAUGUUCCUUCAUCUUUUACCUUCAUUUUUCCAAUUCAUCACAAAAAGGCCUUUCUAUACC
rnacentral:lncRNA from 1 species